rnacentral:rRNA from 1 species
UACGAAGGGGGCGAGCGUUGUUCGGAAUUACUGGGCGUAAAGGGCGCGUAGGCGGCCCCUUUUGUCGCGUGUGAAAGCCCCGGGCUCAACCUGGGAGGUGCGCGCGAAACGGGGGGGCUUGAGUUCGGGAGAGGAGAGUGGAAUUCCCAGUGUAGAGGUGAAAUUCGUAGAUAUUGGGAAGAACACCGGUGGCGAAGGCGGCUCUCUGGACCGAGGCCGACGCUGAGGCGCGAAAGCGUGGGGAGCAAACAGG